rnacentral:rRNA from 1 species
UACGAGGGGGGCAAGCGUUGUUCGGAAUUAUUGGGCGUAAAGGGCGCGUAGGCGGUGCGGUAAGUCACCUGUGAAAACUCUGGGCUCAACUCAGAGCCUGCAGGCGAAACUGCCGUGCUUGAGUGUGGGAGAGGUGCGUGGAAUUCCCGGUGUAGCGGUGAAAUGCGUAGAUAUCGUGAGGAACACCAGAGGCGAAGGCGGCUACCUGGACAAUUGCUGACGCUCAGGCACGAAAGCGUGGGGAGCGAACAGG